rnacentral:lncRNA from 1 species
UGGAGCCCCAUUACCACAGGAAAAUGGUCUGAUUCGCCACCCACCGUCCUAACCCUAGUCUUAGCUCCAUUGUACAUGUCCUUAAUUACUCUGAUAUAGGCUUCUGGCACACUCUUCGCCUCCAAGUACCUCCAUAGCACCUUCCUCGGGACCUUGUCAUACGCCUUUUCCAAGUCGAUAAGCACCAUAUGAAGGUCCUUCUUCUUAUCCCUAAAUUGUUCCACCAGCCGCCUGACUAGGUGAAUAGCCUCUUUGGUGGAGCGGCCCG